GCCAUCGAAUUGUGUAUGAACGGUCCAGAUGCAGCGGACGGCAACCUCCUCCUGUUUUCUCUGAAAAAGCAGAGGCGGCGGUCGGUCUUUCCCCACGAACAGCCGUCUCCUGCCUUCGUUCGCGAUCGAGGGAAGUCUCCGCCGGAGUCAGGGACCUAGGGUUUGAGGAUCGUCGGAAGGGGCGCAGGGUGAGGAGCGCGAGGAGGGGAAGAUGAUCGAGGUGGUGCUGAACGACCGCCUGGGGAAGAAGGUGCGGGUCAAGUGCAACGAGGACGACACCAUCGGCGACCUCAAGAAGCUGGUGGCGGCGCAGACGGGGACGCGCCCCGAGAAGAUCCGCAUCCAGAAGUGGUACAACAUCUACAAGGACCACAUCACCCUCAAGGACUACGAGAUCCACGACGGCAUGGGCCUCGAGCUCUACUACAACUAGCUGCCCUGACUCCACAUGCCUUUGUUAUCAGGUUGAUCUGAAUUCUGAAGCCAUGGGUGCAAUUCCAGUCGCAGCCUCCUAAGUUCAUACAUAUAAGCAACCUGAGUGAGCUAUGCGAGACAUGGUUGUGCCAAACUAUCAAUGACUAUUGACAGAUUCGCAUAUGUUGCUGUGUGAUCAACCUGCAAACUUGGUGUGCUGCUACUCGUGCUAUAAAUAACGUAGUGCUCAACUUUGGUUGCGGUAAUCGCCAUCUUUUGUCA